UUCCAGUCCAAUAGCGUAUAUUAAAGUUGUUGCAGUUAAAAAGCUCGUAGUUGAAUUUCGGGGUUAGUAGGUUGGUCAUGCCUCUGGUAUGUACUGAUCUCACUGAUUCCUCCUUCCUUAUGAACCGUAAUGCCAUUAAUUUGGUGUUGCGGGGAAUUUGGACUGUUACUUUGAAAAAAUUAGAGUGUUUAAAGCAGGCUAACGCUUGAAUACAUUAGCAUGGAAUAAUGAAAUAGGACGUUCGAUCUUAUUUUGUUGGUUUCUAGGAUUGACGUAAUGAUUAAUAGGGAUAGUUGGGGGCAUUAGUAUUCAAUUGUCAGAGGUGAAAUUCUUGGAUUUAUUGAAGACUAACUACUGCGAAAGCAUUUGCCAAGGAUGUUUUCAUUAAUCAAGAACGAAAGUUAGGGGAUCGAAGACGAUCAGAUACCGUCGUAGUCUUAACCAUAAACUAUGCCGACUAGGGAUCGG
rnacentral:rRNA from 1 species